AAUUCGAUGCAACGCGAAAAACCUUACCCACCUUUGACAUGGCAGGAAUCCUGAAGAGAUUCGGGAGUGCUCGAAAGAGAACCUGCACACAGGUGCUGCAUGGCUGUCGUCAGCUCGUGUCGUGAGAUGUUGGGUUAAGUCCCGCAACGAGCGCAACCCUUGCCAUUAGUUGCUACGAAAGGGCACUCUAAUGGGACUGCCGGUGACAAACCGGAGGAAGGUGGGGAUGACGUCAAGUCCUCAUGGCCCUUAUAGGUGGGGCUACACACGUCAUACAAUGGCCGGUACAGAGGGUAGCCAACCCGCGAGGGGGAGCCAAUCCCGCAAAGCCGGUCGUAGUCCGGAUCGCAGUCUGCAACUCGACUGCGUGAAGUCGGAAUCGCUAGUAAUCGCGGAUCAGAAUGUCGCGGUGAAUACGUUCCCGGGUCUUGUACACACCGCCCGUCACACCAUGGGAGCGGGUUCUGCCAGAAGUAGUUAGCCUAACCGCAAGGAGGGCGAUUACCACGGCAGGGUUCGUGACUGGGGUGAAGUCGUAACAAGGUAGCCGUAUCGGAAGG
rnacentral:rRNA from 1 species